AGCCGCCGAAGGUGGGGUAGAUGAUUGGGGUGAAGUCGUAACAAGGUAGCCGUAUCGGAAGGUGCGGCUGGAUCACCUCCUUUCUAAGGA
rnacentral:rRNA from 1 species